rnacentral:lncRNA from 1 species
UCCAGGCAGGUUUAGACGCAAAAUAUGUUAGUCGCUGUAGUGUAAGGAGAAUAAUUUUCUCUUCUUACAACAAUACUGUGUUCAACUCGGUUCAUUGUCGCACAGCAUACUGGGAGAGUAAUGUUUCGACAUAUUGCAUCUUAUCAGUCAGAAGUAGCCAGAAUUCUGAACCUAAACAAAGCCGUUGGCUUUGUUUCUAUUUUCUACCUGAUCUGGGCGAGUAAAAUUGAUCAAAACCACGAAACAUUACCCUUACGUUCCACUGGAUUGAAGAUCGAGGCUAUUACUGGACCGAAAGUGGAGAAUGGGUUGUCAUUAUAAGGGUGACGAGGAUUUGAGACAUACAAAACGGCAUUACUGGAGUGAAUGUAGCACAAGGUCAGCCAGGUCUCAGGAGCAGAGUCUACCGUCAUAGCUGCAGCAGCAAAGAUUAGGAGAGAGGAGAGAAAAGAUUUACAUUAAAAGCGCUGGUUUUGAAUUAAAUAAAAACUGGAUGGCACAAAUGAAGUGUAACACCUAUGUCUGCAAAUAUGCAUUGAAGACUAUAUGUGUAAACUGAAGAGAGUGGGUAUGUUUAGUCAUAAAAAAAUAAACCAAAUGAUAGAAAUUUGUUUUUUUAGACAAGAAAAAAGGAAAGAAAGGAAACUAAUGUUGUUACUGCCCACUCUACAACAAAUUCUCAACCGUGUAAUUGUAACAAAUAUCCUUGUUUCUAUUGAUCGACUGAAGUCAGUUCGCUACAGUUACAGUAACUCAUAUAUAUCUAGAUACAUCACAGUUAUGCAAUAGGUUCAAGACGACAAAAUAAAGUUUAAUUUGAUUUAGA